CUCCUGAAUUAGAGGAACGGCUGCAGGGUCAGUGACUCAAUGGCAGCCCCAAAGGAAUCAGCUGCGUAUCUGCUUGUUGCAGUCAGGCAGCCCCAACAGGAGCUGUGAAGCUGCUGUCGCGUCCCUGCUUUGGAGGCUCCUGCAGGGAGGGCACGUCGCUCCUGGGGGAUGCACAUGGCCAUGGGCACACGCGGAUGGUGCCCGCACCCUCGCUGCAGACCUCCUCUGAUGAGAUGCUACUGCUUGCCUUGCUUUCUCGCUCGGGGCGGGUGCUGUGCCACCAGUGCGGCCCCAGGCCUGCUCCAUCCCCGCUGCCAGUGGGACGAAGGGAGCCGGACCGAGCAGCACACCGUUCACCGCUUUGCCAGGGCCUUCCCUGGGGGCCUGCGGUUCCCUCAAAGCACAUCCUGAGAGUGCAGACACUUCUGAAGCAGGACUACUCCUCUGCUGCCGAAGUCAUCAGUUUCUUGCUAACCAAAGGAAGCUUCAGCAAAGAGCCAGGGUGGCUUUGCUUUCAGGGUGUAUAAUGUGCCUCAACAACGCGAUAAUGAGCUGACAUUAGAAAGAAAAGGGCUCUUCCAGCUGCUUUCUAGCUGAGAGGAUGCUUGUGCCAAGCAUUGCUUUCAUAUGCAAAGUGGUGCAUUUUUUCAAUGUAAAUAUUUUAAGAACAGUGUUUUAUAAGAGAGAAGAAAAAAUCUCACCUGAGUUUAACAGGAAGGCCUGUUCACAGAGUUUCUUCUUUUUCUGUCAAAGAUCUUGUUGCAGGAUGCUCUGCUCCCUCUGUCUCUUGGGUAAUUGUGGGAUUUAUUACAGCAACUUGUCUCGUAUUUCAUUUCUUGGCUGUUCUGUUUCUCCCAUCGGUGCUACCCUGCCCUCCAAGGGGGGAGGGACUGGUGUACCAGCCUCAGCACUGUGACAGCCCAGGUGCCCCUGAGAGACACCAACGAGCAUCUUCACGGGGCUCAGCUGGGUGGGAGCGGGUCCCUCUGCCCGGGGGGACAGUGGCAACGCUCCCAGCUGCAGCAGCGCAGCAAGUGCUUGUGCACAUGCAGAAGUGCUGGGGCUCCGCAGAGGCAGCAGGGCAGGUACCCCACGCACCGGGAGCCCCUCGUGGUACCGGCAGGGACGGCCGCUGCCAGGGUCAAUGCCCCAUGCAGCCCACCCGGCAAGUCCGCAGGAUGAGACAGGUCUGAGGCCAAGCUGGGAAGCCGACCCGUGCUCAGAUCAGGUCCAGUGGCUGCGGGGCAGCUCCAUGGGGACAAGGCAGGACUGAAGCCAGUCUGGAAGUCAGGGGCUGGAUCCACAGGGCCUAUGGGGCACAGGCCUGAGAGACUCUUAUGGCAUAGCUGAGGCAGGGGCUGAAGGCCCAGAGCUGAGCUUAAAUGGGCUCCUGGGUGGGUGGCCAGAUGGGGCUCAUCAGGGCCAUUAGGGCAAUUAGUGCCCUAGGCUCUAGGUGGAGCUUCCCAGGAAAUGCUGAGAUCUCUCGCAGGUGUGAUGACAUGUGCCUGCUCUCAGCGGGACAGAGGCUGUUGGGUGUGGCUGUGACAGCCCACCAAAGGAGCCCCAAUUACAGCCAUGCUCAGGGCAACCUGCCCACCAACUCGAGUGACACGGUGACUGAAGACUCUGCCCCUGUGUCUGUAAAAACCACCUAAACUAACCAGAGACGAGACCUGAUGAGGUCCCCGGGGCACUCCAGUAGGUGGGAAUCCCGCUGCGUUCCGGCGGUGCCAGCUCGGGUCCGGGCAGCGGCUGGGGGAGAGAGCUUGUGUGGCUGCAAGCCUGCUCCGCUGCCCCUGUGCCCGAGCUGGGGCUGCCUGAGCACGAGCUCCCCCGGGAAAUUAACAGAGGAUGCGGCCGUGCAGCGCGUCCUGGUGCGCGACAGGCUGCUCCCCCCGCCCCGGGCAGCCGGUGUACCUGGACAGCCGGAGAAAGGGCUGAGAAACGCCUCAUCCUAUCCCGCCCCGUGUAUUGCUGUUUUCAUCUUAAAAGUGACAGUAAACCAGCAUCCAUAUUACAGUGACAUUAGCAGAAUAGCUGCCACAGGGUUGCCUCCUGCUUUAUGCUUUUCAGGCAGAGGCCAGCAGCAAGAGAUCAAAAACUGUUUUUAUGUUGCUUCAGAGCUGUGUCAGCUCAAUGAGCCAACAAACCCUGCAGUGCCGGCGUGCGUCCUGCUAGCGCUGCUUAGCACUUGGAGCAUUAAAUUAUUGACAGGAUGCUGCUUGUGAACCUGCAGCACUCCUGACCCAGAUACUCGUCGUCACUAAACCUGGAAGACAGAAGUCUCCAAAAUGUCAAAUUUGCUGAAAUAUUCAUGUUGUAAAUACAGAUGGUAUAAAAUCUCCAGCGAGGUUGCAGCCUGCGUAUUUACUUAUGUCAGCUCCACUACCAAGAGUGAAUGAGUCACAGCCACUUUAUUAAAUUCACACGCAAUAGCGAGGAAGGCGACGCAGGAUGUUGAAUGGGCUUUAGGUGACACAAGCUCCUUGCAUACAUUACUGCUUCCAAGAAAAAACGCUCCUCUCUCCUCUCCGCUCUGACACAAUAUUAACUCUGCUUCCUCCAUUGCCCUGCUGGAAGCAAGUCAAAGCUGCAACAUUAUUUCUGCAACAGAAGGUGCAACAGGCAAAUGGGCAUUAAUCCUGAAUAAUGGAUCCGGCAGUGUCAGGGCGAGCCUCUCAUGCUCGUGGGGAAUGCAAAACCCUGGAGAAGGCAGGUUCCCUGGCCAAGGCAAGGUUUUGGAGCAGCACAGCAGAACUAUCCUUUUGCAGAAGUUAAAUUGAGCUCCGCCGUGGGAGGGGAAGAGCGUCUGCCCCAGGAGGAUCGAUGCGAGGGCAGCUCUCCGUGAAAGGCCAGCGGGACUCUGCCCUCUGCCUGCUUUCUGAACCAGCUUCUCCAACAGCACCGGCAGUCACCUCCCGGCCUCGAGCUCCACAAGCUGGCUCAGCAGUGCACGGUGCGGCAGUGCUUUCCCUGGGUAGACCUCCACCCCUAAAGCGUAUAGCGAUGCACCUCCCUGGGUGACCUGAUGCCCACCGCUAGCCAGAAACCUCCAAUUUAGGUGGAAGCACAAUCUUCUCCGAACCCCAUCAUCAGCUGAUGAAACAGGAGAAUUGGGGGCUUUUUUAAAAAAAGACUUUUUGCUGACUUCUUGGGAGUCAGGAAAUUCCCUGAAACAAUCCUGCCCGUAACUAACGUACCACCCGAAGGAAGAGCCUUCAUCACACAACCAGAAGAGCCUCACACAACCGCCCGCAUCCCAGACGGGCUGUCCCACUCCCAGGGAAGCACACGAUGUCGGGGUCGGCUUUGCCAUGGCCGUCCAUGCGCCCACUGCAGAAGGACGCGGCAGCUCAGCGCCGGGGGUUAGGAGGAAUCGACUCCUCGCCAGGGACUGGGACUCCCAAACUGCAAGUGCAGCUAUGUUUACCAGAUGCCUUUCAGAAACCUGGUGCAUCGCUGGGCAGCUGCCGUCUCCACGCACGUGCCCGGCUCUGCGCCAGCCCCGCUCGCCCCCAGCGCAGCCCCCGGCAGAGCCAAGGGGGCUGUCACCUUUCUAGCGUUGCUCGGGGAUGGCGGGCAGCGGCACGGCGUGUCUGUGAGUGUGCUGUAGGUGUGACACGGGCACGGCCCCGAGGGCUGCGUGCCCCGGGAAGCUGGCACGGGUGGGAUGCUCGCCCCUCGGCUGCGCCCCCGGGGCUGCGGACGAGCGCCGUCCCAUGGGGAGAGCACACCGCGGCACAUCGGGAUCCGUCCUGGAGGAGAACGGGAGCCGAUACCCUUGCGGUGUUUAAAUAAGCAAAGUUUUUGUGCAAAGCAGAGGUUAAUGUACUUUAUUGUUCAAUGUCAUGUUUAUAGUGGAUUGUUGGAGGAAAAAAAUGUGAUUAAUUGCCCAGAAACCCACGGAUCUACAAUUAUUUGGUUGUUGUGAACAAAUAAAGGGCUACAGUAUUCAUCAUAUUCAAAUGAGGCAGUAAAAUAAAUGAUGGCAUGCCGUUUAUGAACAAAACCUAGCCGUGUUCCUUCACAAUCUGAAAAUGUACUCGAAAAAUUGUAAAUGAGAUACAGCCAUUGUCGAGGGCUCACUGGUGAUUUGUCUUUGUGUAAUGUUUUGCAGUGCUGACCCAUCACUUGCCUGUUUUAAUUUAUGUCACAAUAUGCACCUUCAUUAUGCACUUUAUGAAAACGAAGUGCCAAUUUGUAAUAAAGACUUGUUUUCAAUGA